GACGAACGCUGGCGGCGUGCUUAACACAUGCAAGUCGGACGGAAAGGCCCUGCUUUUGUGGGGUGCUCGAGUGGCGAACGGGUGAGUAACACGUGAGUAACCUGCCCUUGACUUUGGGAUAACUUCAGGAAACUGGGGCUAAUACCGGAUAGGAGCUCCUGCUGCAUGGUGGGCGUUGGAAAGUUUCGGCGGUUGGGGAUGGACUCGCGGCUUAUCAGCUUGUUGGUGGGGUAGUGGCUUACCAAUGCUUUGACGGGUAGCCGGCCUGAGAGGGUGACCGGCCACAUUGGGACUGAGAUACGGCCCAGACUCCUACGGGAGGCAGCAGUGGGGAAUAUUGCACAAUGGGAGGAAGCCUGAUGCAGCAACGCCGCGUGCGGGAUGACGGCCUUCGGGUUGUGAACCGCUUUCGCCUGUGACGAAGCGUGAGUGACGGUAAUGGGUAAAGAAGCACCGGCUAACUACGUG
rnacentral:rRNA from 1 species